UGGGGCUAGCCUCCUGCUAAGUGAAUCUUUGUUUCAAAUAGUAACAAGAUUUUUGAUCUAUGCAUCUCUUGGGUAUCUUUGCAUUCUGGCUGACAAUUCUAACAAGCUUUCAUAUAUGAUAGCAAUAGGUCAUUUUAGCUCUUUGCUUUUUUAGUCCACAGUGUGCAAUAUUUCAGAAGAGUAGAGAGAGCUUCUCCCUUCCAACAUUCAUUUCAAUACUUGGUAGUGGAGGAAAACAUGACUGAUCUUGUGAAACUGAAUUUCCCAUCACUGUACUAUCACUGUAUCUGAGGAUACAUAAAAGAGGACAUGUUUGCAGGAAAAGCAUAGAUCUGUGUGGUUUUACAGAAUAUUACAAUGGAACAUCUGAGUUUUGUGUACCUGAUGUGAAAUCUGCUGAUUAUGAGCUAUGCAAUAAGACUGCCUAUUGUCUUAGAGGAAUAUUCCAAGAUAGGGAUGGACAGUGCAUGCAAUUAUUUGGACAAUACGUGUCCUUUGUGCAAAGCUAGUUUGUCACUGGAAAAGUACAGAACUAAUACGACAUAAAGAUGAUGAUGCUUAAUAUACUUACCUUGGAAACCAUGUAUGUGUGUCUACAUUUUUACGAAAUUCAUGUGGUAGCAUAAAGGAUAACUCCUAUGUAAAAAAUGGUACUUUUUGUGGUCUAGAAAAGUUAUGUGAUAAUGGAGUUUGCCAACUUGUGAGCACAUAUGCAGAUAGAAGACAAGGUAACUCGGAAGAAAAAUGCGGUGGACAUGGGGUUUGCAAUACUCUGAAUAAUUGUCAACGUGAUGUUGCAUAUUCUCCUUAAACUUGUAGGCAAGAUAGUUCAUCACCAGGAGGAAGUAUUGAUGAUGGGUUUUGGAUUUUAGGAAAAAGUACACCCUUGUUUGUGAAAUGACAUGCUGUUCCUCAGAAAAACGGCCUUUAAUCAGUUGCUACAUUUUUCUACCUUUCCUCAUUUUAACUGCCAUCAUUGGUCUUAAAUGGAACAAAAUGAAGAGAUUUUGGCACUGAGCAAAAAGUGUAAGUGGAAGACAGCAGUAGUAGCAGCAACAGUAACAGCAGUAGUGACAGCAACCAGUCAUAGAGUAACUACAUGAUAACAUCAAAAGCCAUAAGAUAGAGAAAGGAUAUUACCAAGAAACUUACCAUUAACUGGCUUGAUUCAACAAUGAAAACAAAAAUCGCCUUUUUUCUCCUUUCAUUAUGGCUUAAAGCUUUCAAUUGCACAAACAAAAUAAAUUCUAUGACAGGAA
rnacentral:lncRNA from 1 species